AAAAACCGAGGUCGAAAUCUUUUCGGGUUAGGAAGCUGGCCUGAUGGACCCCUGGCCAUGAAGAUUCCAAAAGAGCCCUGUACUUUAAAUUCUCUCCUUUAAUUAUCACAUUCCUCUUUUAAAACUAACAAAUACACAUCAUUAAUGUAAAUCCCACUCCAUUAACAUUGAAUAAUUAACAUAUAUUAUGGAACUACGAGGCUGCAUGUUUUUUACGAAGCCUGCUCUUUUGAGCAAACCAGAAGGAAAAAAAAAUCCUGGCCACAAUCGUGAUGGUUAGUGUUAGUACUAUUUUUAUCUAACCCUUUAAUAUUGUUCAAUAAGAGAAUAAGACUAGGCGUUGUAAAACUCUCAAGAAGCUUGUUGACACCUUGUUAAGACUUUGUACUCAAUUUUUAGAUGCAGAAUAUAAAAGUAUCAGCAUACUGUACAUAUUUUAUCAUAUUUUUGGUGUUGCAUACAAUGAAAUGAUAUGGGACUUGAAAAUACAGCUUUGAGAUAGAUGCACCACAAUAAAUGUACAAUUGUAUACACAAAAUGUUCAAUGUUGUUAAUGAACACUGGUGAAGAGUACAAUGGUUUCCAGCAAUACUUCUACCCCAAGUUUGGAAGGAAACUUAACAUAUUGUUACCCACAAUGAAUUAAAAUGCUCCAUUGCCCUGAGCAAGCAAGUA
rnacentral:misc_RNA from 1 species